CCGGCGCGGCCCGUCAUGGCCCCUCCGCCCCCGCGCCCCAUCAUGGCCCCUCCGCCUCCGCCUCCGCUGUCCGCCAUCCCGUCGCGGCUCCACCGCAUCCGGCCGCCGCCGCUGGCCCCGCCCCGCCCGGCGGCCAUCCUGCCGUCGCCGGCCCAGCCGACGCUCUCCCCUCUCCCGGCGCUCCCUUCGGUCUGCAUGUCGACGGAGUCCCCCAUCUCGGCCUACAUGCGCCGGCUCCGCGGGAUGCCGUCGCCGAUCCUCGUGCCCACAUCGCCGCUCGGGUUCGGGUGCCUCCACUCGCCGCGGGCGCCGAUGUCUCCCGGCGUGGCCAUGCCGGCCACCAGCCCCCGCGUCCGCGACCCGUGA
rnacentral:rRNA from 1 species